rnacentral:misc_RNA from 1 species
GAUGAAGAACGCAGCGAAAUGCGAUACGUAAUGUGAAUUGCAGAAUUCAGUGAAUCAUCGAAUCUUUGAACGCAUAUUGCGCUCUCUGGUAUUCCGGAGAGCAUGCUUGUUUGAGUAUCAGUAAACACCUCAACUUCCAUAUCUUUUUUGAAAUGGGAGUUGGACUUGAGUGAUCCCAACGCUUUUCCUCACCGAAAAGUGGCGGGUUACUUGAAAUGCAGGUGCAGCUGGACUUUUCUCUGAGCUAUAAGCAUAUCUAUUUAGUCUGCCUAAAAAACAGAUUAUUACUUUUGCUGCAGCUAACAUAAAGGAGAUUAGUUCUUGUGCUGACUGAUGCAGGAUUCACAAAGACAGGCUUCGGCCGACUUUGUAAACUCGAUCUCAAAUCAAGUAAGACUACCCGCUGAACUUAAGCAUAUCAAUAAGCGGAGGA